ensembl:lncRNA
GGUUCUCCAUAUCAAACAAGUACUGUCCACAUGCAGCAAGUUUAUAUAAACAACAACAUGCCUAAUGCAUGCAACAUUUUGCAGUCAUAUAGUAAACACAUUCUUUAAGAUUUUUUUAUCAGCUAUUCUACAGCCCAAUACAAUUCCAGCUGCACAGCAGUAUUGCCAGAAGAACUUGAAAAAAGCAAACAAUGGACAUUUAAGUACCAGCUCCAGAAUGACUACAAAAAUCACAAUAAUCUUCCCAGUUAGCUGCAAGAAUCAACCCCCACCCUGCACAAAACACAGCCCACACCUGCACUGUUAACCAUUUGCAAGUUAAAUAUAAGCAAGACAUUUCAGCAUGGUUAAGAAACACCCUGGCUUACUACAACUUUGAAAGGAUGAGGAGUAAGAAGCAUACCACAGAGACCCAGAAAAGGCUGCUUUUUUCUUCAUUGAACACAGAAAAGAUACCCCAUGUUCCAGGCAAUUAAAAAAAUAAAAAAUAUGUAUAUAUAUUAAAACACACCCACCAACACUGAGUAAAAAUAAAAAAAAAACCAAACAAACAGGGGGGCUUCAAGAAGACUGCAGGGAAAAAGCUCUCACUCUCUUUAGUGUGCAGAAGCUUAGGGGGAAAAAAUGUCGCCCUGGCAGGAAUGACAAAUGCAGUAGGAUAGGCUAGCAGGCCUGAGGGAUCUGUUUUACUUCCACAUACAUCCUCUAAUGCACGCACUCCCACUCAUCCUCUCGAGAUGCCUUUUUUUUUUCCCCCCACUUUUUUUUUUCACUAGCUCCAAAUCCCCGGCAUAUGACCUUCUGUUAAAUAGAUAAAAAAAAUUUGCUUAUCAGUCAUGCAAAUGAGGCUGAAUUCAUUUUCCACAACAGAUGGCCUCAUAGAUAAUGAUGAUGGAAGAGAGAAAAUUGAAUGUCUCUCACAAGGUGGUCAUGGCAACCGAGAGCAGAAUAAUAUCAAUAAUAAGCUCACUGCAUAAUAAGGUUGUCAAUCCCACAAAUCAAAGUCUCCAGCUAAAUCAGGUAUCCCACCCCCCGCUAGUUAUCAAGUAAAUAGAGAAAUAGAGAGCAUCCUUUUUCUUUUUAAACAAGACACUGGAAAGAAAUUGUAGCUCCAGAGCUUCCAGGGUAAGAGGGGAAAGAAGGAGCAGAAAAAAAAUUUUCUCCAAUAAUUGUGUUUUAUUUAAUGAUUCUGGGAGGGGGGUGUUGGAUAUUUGGAUAUAUCUCCUUUUUUACCUUUUUUUCUUUUUUAUAUUAUUACUUCUUUAUUACUUCUACAGAGAGGUUUUUGUUUGUUUGUUUGUUUUUGUUUCUUUGUUGUUUGUUUGGUUUUGAUUUUUUUUUUUUUUUUGAAGGGGAGUACUGGUUUGUUUUUUUAAUAGUGAGGCUGGUAUUUUGAACUCUAUCUGCUGCCGAAGCCUUGCCUCCCCUCCCUGUGUCUGAUGUGGAGUGCUGCAUUGAUGCAAUAGCAGCUCGCCUCAGGCUUUCACCUUGGCUCCCAGGGGGCCAUCCCGCAAAAUGAAUCAGCAGCCAUCCUGAGCAGACUGAUUAAAAUGAAAAUGGCAAGGCACAUGUCUGGGCGGAACUAGAGCUGAGCUGCGCUGCACUGCCUGUCUGGCAAGCAUGCUCAAUAUAGCUUUUGCUAAUAAUGGCUUACCGCCUUUCGGGUUUUUAAAGGUAUUACCGUCGACCCUUCCCCCACCCCCUAAACAGAUAACGCUGCUGGGGGCUUUCCCCCCCUUCGCUGUAUACUGCUCACAGCUAGACUUUGCCAGACUGACAUGCAGUGAUUGUGAAAAGACACACUUGCUUUGCAAGGAUUUUCUUCACAGAUGUGCUGAAAUACCAAGAAAACAUAUUAACAUGCAGCUAUAAAUUAUUCCCAGAUAUUAGCUGAGAAAGAAACCUCAGAUGAAGAGGAAAGCUCAGCCACUACCAGACACACCAUUUUCACACACACACCACCCCCCCGGCCCUGGUUUUUACACCUCAGCUUGCAUUGGCACCUUGUGCAUUAUGCAUCAGGAGAAAAUGACUGCCAGUAAACGCAGAGCAGCUUCCUGGAGCUCUCUCUGCCCUGUGCUUGACACACUCAAGCUGGAUCUCCAACCCCGCCACAGUCCCUAAGCAGAUGAAUAUGUGCAUUAAAAAAGAGCCAUUUAAAGUGCACAUCUCCUGUAGUCCUUUAACAAAACAGAAAUAUUUUGCAGCCAACUCCGGUGUGCAAACCCAGCAUCGACAAAGCAUCAGACAUUAAUCCAUGUGUGUGGGGGAUCUGAAACCUGGGAAGACUGUUGUUUCAUGAGAUUUGGGAAUUGCUCUGCCUGGGGAUUUUUGGUGGUGUUUUUUAAGUAAGCAGCGGCAUACCUCUGGAAACUGGCCUGUAUGUGCUAUACAUAAGCACAUACACCCUGAUGUGUCUUCGGUUAAGAAGAUUGGGAUUAUUUCCUCCCCCCCGCCCCCCCCCUGCUUUCUUCUCCCCCUGCCCUGCACUCUAGUCCUGUUACUGCAGUGUGAACCAGAAAUCAAUAAGGCUACUCUAAUGGAGGUUCCAGCUGCAGUUGGCUGUGCAGGCGCGCACACACACACACACACACACACACACGCACACACGCACACACACACACACACGCACUGACGUCUGUGCAGUUUUCUCAGCCGAUUGGGCUCCAAAUCGGAUGUUCCGUGAAGCAAAGAAAAGGAAUCAUUUAUAGUCUGGAAAAAAAUAUGGUACCUUGCAUCUCCCUGUCUCCAAGAGCAUCAGGCUGGGCUGGCUGCGCAGGCUGGCUGCAGUGUGUGAGUGAGAGCUCAGCUCGGGGUACGGGCAGGUACUGGACGACUCCCCCAGAUUACCACAGAAACUGACGGGGCACAGAACCCUACAAUUCAUACAGGAUGUUUUUAUAAGGCUACCCAUUCAUAUUAUGAAAGAUAAAAACAUGGACACAGAAAAACCAACACAAAAAAUCACAGCAGUUUAACUGAUCGAUUAUUAGAGCUCUUAUGUCCUUUGAUGUGUUUGCAAGUAUUUCUGAGCUCUGAAGAGUAUUUUAAUGAAAAAUUUAUUUUUAAGGGCUUAGAAACUAUCAAUUGAACAUUUAAUAUUUUGUUGUAAAUUGCUUGCUUCCCUCUUCUUCAAUAGAAGAAUAUAUAAUUUGUUGAAUAUUAGACUCCAGUUCAAUUUUUUCUAUGUUCUUCAAGUAAUUUUUAUAUAGAUAGUUAUGUGUGAAGCCACUCCUUGUUACUAAAAUAUAUUUGGGGUUUUCCACUUUUAAACAAUGAACCUCAGGCUUGGUUCCCUGAUCCUGCAGCUGUUUUUCUCUGAAACAAGAAACAACUCUGUUAGUGAACAUAUAAAAAAAUCCUAAUUCUCUACUCCUAAAAUUAGGUAUUCCUGGGAUCUACGACACCGCAAAACACCUCCCCCACCUCCCUACCUAUGUAUUUCAACUUCAGUGUAUUGAAAGCCACUGCCCCAGCUGAAGUCUGGCUCCAGUGAAGUAUUUAUAUUCCUUCUACUCAGCCCUGUGGAUCUUUUGCAGGGCUCAGGAUACCAACCCAAGACCUGCUCUGGAGAAAUAAAGUCUGGAAAAUGAAUGAAUCAUAAAGCUAUAUUGCAUGACAAAGUCAUAUCCCAGCCUAUGUUCAAUAGUUCUUUCUUAUGCAAGCUUUAAAAAAACCCAUGGUUUAAAAAUUAUGGCAUAUGGCAGGUUACUAAGUAAUGGACUUCAGGAAACCUUAGAACAAAAGGGAAGCAUAGAAAUCCACCUCGCCUUAACAUCAGCAAUUACACCACCACAGUACCCCCUCCCCAAAUAUUUAUCUAAUCUCUGCUUUAAUUAUUUAUACUAGUUGCUUUUUUUCUGCUGUCCUUAGCAUUUUGGAGCAUAUAUUAAUUGUUCUUGGUUUCUCUGUGUGGAGACAUUCUGCCUAGGAUUUUUUCCCUCCCUCCUGCCCAAUCCCUAUUAAGUUUUAACCCCUUUUCUACUGAACAGAAAGCUUAGGCUGUGUGAGUACUGUAAUUGCUUUCAAGAGCUACAAGGUGUCUUGCCCAGCCUAGCAGUAGACUAUUUACCAGACUGAUAAACAUAGCAUCAUUGGUAAAUGUUAAAGCACACAGUUUAACUAUUGUCCUAGAAUAUGAAAUUAGAGUCUGAAGUAUAACCUAAAUGCUAAAAUGUAUUCCUUUUUUAUAUUGCUUUUAUGAAAAAAAGCAUAUUUCCACAUAAUGAAGCUACUAGGGUACUACCAACUGGCUCACACUGUGUUUAUUAAUAUCAGUGAAAAUGAACAGUGGCAACUGCCCAAGGAUAGAAAGCCCUUAACAGUGCCACUAAUCCUUACAUUCUUUAAUCUUCCCUAUCUUUUCCUAACGCUGGCAUUUAGCAUUCCCAGAAACACCAGCUCAGGGCAUUAGGACAGCCACUAAGCCUGAGCAGUUGCUGAGUAUCUGUACAUCAGGGAGCUGCUUUUUUGAGCUGAAGUUGAGCAACCCCUCUGGUAGGGACUGUAGCUCAGUCCCUACCUCCAAAUACAUGAGUAUCUGAAAAACAAUCCUUCCCAGUCUGUAAGAGUAUUGUUAAUAUACUUAUAAUUUCUGGUAAUUUUCCCAUCUUAAUGAUUUUUGUUAAAGCAGCAGGUUAGUGUUAACAGAAUCAUAGAAUAGUUAAUGUUGCAAGACACCACAGUGGGUCUGAUCAAGCAGGGCCAUCAUAGAGCCCAUGGCACAGGAUGGUAUCCAGACAGCUCUUGAAUAUCUCCAGGAAUGGAGACUCCACAGCCUCUCUGGGCAAUCUGUUCCAGUGCACAGUCACCUGCACAGUAAAGAAAUUCUUCCUCAUGUUCAGGUGGAACUUUCUGUGCAUCAGUUUCUGCCCAUUGCCUCUCGUCCUAUUGCUGGGCACCACCAAGAGGAGCCUGGUCCACCCUUUUGAUACUCUCCCUUCAGAUACUGACAGACAUUGAUGAGGUCCCCCCUCAUCUCUUCUGGAGGCUGAACAGGCCCAGCUUCCUCAGCAUGCCCUCAUAAGGGAGAUGUUCCAGUCCCUUAAUCAUCUUUGGAGCCCUCCAUUGGACCCACUCGAGGUGCUCCAUGUCUCUCUUGUCCUAAGGAGCCCAGAAUUGGACACAGCACUCCAGAUGUGCCUCACCAGGGCUGAGUAGAAGGACAGGAUCACCUCCUGUGACCUGCUGGCAAAGCUCUUCCCAAUGCAACCCCAGGAUACCUUUGGUCUUCUUGGCCACAAGGACACACUGCUGGUUCUUAGCAGCUUGUUGUCCACCAGGACCCCCAGGUCCUUCUUCACAGAGCUGCUCCCAGCAGAUCAGACCCCAGCCUGUGCUGGUGCAUGGGGUUGUUCCUCUACAAGUACAGGACCCUGCAUUUGCCUUUGUUGAAUUUCACAGUUCUCUCCAACCCAUCAAGGUCCUUCUGAAGAGCUGCACAGCCCUCUGGGAUACCAGCCACUCCUCACAUAUUUGCAUUGUCAGUGAACUUGAUGAGGUGGCAUCUGCACCUUCAUCCAAGUAAUUGAUAAAUAUGCUCCACAAUAUUGGGCCCUGUAUUGAACAUCACUAGUGUGAGGCCUCCAACUACACCCUGUGUCACUAUGACCCUCCAGUAAAAGGUUAUAUAGGUCACUUUGAUGAGACUCAGCAGAACAUCUUGCAAAUGCUGCUCCAGUACAGCACAGGAACAUGGUAGAAUGUACAUCUAAAAAAGUGUUAAUGUAAAAGUCAAAAUGUAAAUACAGGUAGCCUCAGAGGAAAAUAAUUUAUUCUACUUCAAGCAGACCUUGUCUCACUCAUGAGACAAAAUACAGUUCACAGUGUAACCAAACUAGUAAUUUACAGGCAUGUGGAGCAUAAAUAUUCUUUAGUAUCUAAAGUGGGGUGCACUACUUUGUUCUUGCAGUUAUAAAGCUAUAUAUAUUUAUAUCUAGUGUCUGGUCCCCAUGAACCACUGAGUGAAAAACCCAAAAUAUGUAUGGAACUGUAUGUGCAAAAAUCCCAUAGAAUAUGGAGUAACUGCUUGUUACUCAUAUUGUAUGAGUAUGUUACUCAAAUGUUACUAAAAUGUUAGCCCUCAAGCUAACAUUUUCCUCAAAUACAUGGUCCAACAUAUCCAAAGCCAUUACAAAUGUGUAAAGUAAUGGGACCAAAUGCCCACUCCAGCCAAAAUGUUGGUGGCUCCAUUAAAACAUUUACCCUGAGCAUUAUCCAUUUGGCACCUAACAUAUGAAGAAACCAUUUUACUGUCUAGAACUAUACAAAGACUUAGAAUUAUUUUGGAGAGAAAGCACCUAAAGUAGCAGGUAUCUCCAGGAGGACAGCUUCAGAAUAUUCACACUGGAGUUUUCAUUUAGGCAGUACUUAUGAUAUUUGGCAAAGGAUUCUGAGCAGUGUUUUCAUCAGUGUUGUUGGUCUUACCUGCUCAAAAUUACUGAUCUUGUCUUUAAGGUAUUUCCAUGAAGUUGCAAAUUUUGCCCAUGCUUCCGGUUGGUAGAAUGCAAACUAUCUGGUCUGGAAGCCAGUUAGACAUGGUGAAGUUAAUAAAAGGCCUGCCAGCUAGAAGAGUCAUCUGAAAUAGGUGAUGACUAUGUUUACUCAGGAUAGACAAGAGUCCUAGUCCCACUGGAUAUGGAAACUGUAAAAUACUCAUACAUUUGAGUCACCUAAAAAAAAAAAUAUUAUGGAUACAGGAUAAAAAUUGCAGGAAAGAGUUAUAAGCAGUAAUAUGCCUUUGUUUUUUCCCAUUGGCUUCAGCAAGAAGGAGGAGCAAGCCCACAGAGCUAUUAACAGACUGGAAAACUCAGAAUUAGAAAAAGGCAAUAAAAAUUAUGGAAAUUGAAUGAACAGCUUAUGAGAAAAUAUUAAAAAUUAAGCUCAUAGAAUGCAAAGACAAACUGAAAGAAAAGCAGAAACCUCAAGGAUGGCAGAAGGUCCAAAA